UGUACAUCAAGUUGUAAUAAAAAUUUUGAAGAUCGAUCUUGACAUGUUCAACUCACAUGUUUCAUGCAUCAAAAUUUACAGUUAGCAAAUCAACAUGAACUCAAAAUUUCACAACAAUAGUAAAUUGUUAAGGAUCCCAUAUGUAAAAUGGUUUGGUUAUUUCAAGAAUAUAGAUAUCGAAAGUUGAUGAGCUCAUUUA
rnacentral:lncRNA from 1 species